rnacentral:misc_RNA from 1 species
GAAAUGCGAUACGUAAUGUGAAUUGCAGAAUUCAGUGAAUCAUCGAGUCUUUGAACGCACAUUGCGCCCUCUGGUAUUCCGGAGGGCAUGCCUGUCCGAGCGUCAUUGCUGCCCUCAAGCACGGCUUGUGUGUUGGGCCCCGUCCUCCGACCCCGGGGGACGGGCCCGAAAGGCAGCGGCGGCACCGCGUCCGGUCCUCGAGCGUAUGGGGCUUCGUCACCCGCUCUGUAGGCCCGGCCGGCGCUAGCCGAUCAACCACACUUUUUUCCAGGUUGACCUCGGAUCAGGUAGGGAUACCCGCUGAACUUAA